rnacentral:misc_RNA from 1 species
GAUGAAGAACGUAGCGAAAUGCGAUACUUGGUGUGAAUUGCAGAAUCCCGUGAACCAUCGAGUCUUUGAACGCAAGUUGCGCCCGAAGCCACUAGGCCGAGGGCACGCCUGCCUGGGCGUCACACGCCGUUGCCCCCCCAUCUACUCCUUCGGGAUUGCGGGGGGGCGGAUGAUGGCCUCCCGUGCGCCUAGCCGCGCGGUUGGCAUAAAUACCAAGUCCUCGGCGACGCACGCCACGACAAUCGGUGGUUGCUAAACCUCGGUUGCCCGUCGUGUGCGUUCGUCGCGCAUCGAGGGCUCGAAAAAAUGCUCGGCUCCGGCUGGGCUUUCAACGCGACCCCAGGUCAGGCGGGGUUACCCGCUGAAUUUAAGCAUAUCAAUAAGCGGAGGA